rnacentral:lncRNA from 1 species
ACUAGGGGUGGGCAAAUCGGGUUUCGGUUCGGGUUGUUCGGGUUUCGGUUUGGGUUUCAACCCGUUCGGGUUGGAGAAUUGAACCCAAUCGGGUUGAAAACGCCAACCCGAACCAAACCAAACCGAAUUUAAUUCGGUUCGGUUCGGUUUGGGUUGACAAUUCGGAUCGGAUUGGGUUGAUAAUUCGGGUUACAAUUUCGGUUCGGAUUAAUUCGGGUUAGUUCGGGUUAGAAUAAUUCGGGUUAGUUCGGGUUAGAAUAGAUUGAAAUAAUUUAAUCUAAAAAACAGCAAAAAUUAAUCAAUUAAUCAAUCAAUUAAUUAACAAUCUCCAAUUUAAUUAAUAAUAACAGCAGCAGCAAACCCGCUCCAAUUUAAUCAAUAACCGUCUCCACUCUCCAAUUGUUCAAUUAUCAAUAAACCCACUCCAAUUUAACUAAUAGCAAUCUCCAUUUGUUCAAUUAUCAAUCAACAACAACAAUCCCACUUCAAAUAAUUGAAUAAUUGUCAAUCAAUUAAUUAAAAAUUUACAAUUUAAUUAAUAGCAACAAUCUUGUUGGGUUUAGCUCUUCGUUUUGGAGUGAGUUUGGGGUUUCUGUUUAUGUUUAUGUGAAGAUGUGGUGAGAAUGAAAAAAAGCUUCAGCAAGUUACAGCGUCGCCGUCGGCAAGGCAAGACAAACCUUGAUCUCGGAGGUCGGAGCAGCUACAGCGUCGGCAGAUCGAGACUAUGCUGGGCUGAGUGGGACGCGAGGUGAACGCACAGCGCAGUUGCGGGCGAGGCGUGCUGGCUGACGGCGAGUGGGCUGCGGUGAACGGCUGGUGUCUAUUGGAGCUGGACGGGGCUGCUAGCUGCUGCUGUGAGUGCUGUCGUCGUGGGAUGCUGUGGCUGUUGUCUGUUGGAGCUGAAGUGCUGAACGGGGCUGCUGUGGCUGCUGCUGAAGUGCUGAUGUCGUCGGCCACAGUUCUCAGAAAGUGAGAACUGAGAAGAGGGAGCAAGGAGGGGGAGGCCGGGGCCGGGAGGGAGAUGAAGUGAGAUUUUUGUUUAGGGAUUUUUAGGGAUUUUUUUGUUUAAUUAAUGUACAUAUAUUUUUAAUUUAAAAGUUAAAUCUUAAAAAAAAAGCUUCAACCCGAACGGGUUGAAAAUUCGGUUCGG